rnacentral:rRNA from 1 species
CCCUUAGAUGUCCUGGGCUGCACGCGCGCUACACUGAUGUGUCCAGUAAGCACCUAACCUCUUCCGAAAGGAACGGGUAACCUUUGCAAAGCACAUCGUGAUGGGGAUAGAUUAUUGCAAUUAUUAGUCUUGAACGAGGAAUUCCUAGUAAGCACAAGUCAUCAGCUUGUGUUGAUUACGUCCCUGCCCUUUGUACACACCGCCCGUCGCUACUACCGAUCGGAUGGUUUAGUGAGACCCUCGGACUGGUCCCGCUGUCGGACAGGCAACUGUUUGCAGCGCGUGCGCCGGGAAGAAGGUCGAACUUGACUAUCUAGAGGAAGUAAAAGUCGUAACA